rnacentral:tRNA from 1 species
CGAAGAAUAGCUCAGUCGGGUAGAGUGCUUUAUUCCUCGAUGGGAUAGAGAGAUCAAUGGUUCAAAUCCAUUUCCUUCGACCA